rnacentral:lncRNA from 1 species
CUAUACUGUAAUACUGAAAAAUAUCGCGUGGGAAUGAAUAUGUAUAUCUGGAGGAAAAACAAAGCCGAAGAUCGACCGGUCUUCAAUAAUGAACGCGUAAGCUGACAGCAAACGGAGAGUAACAAGACUGGAAACCAUUGUAUCUAUAUAUGAACACAAAUACUCCGGAAUCAAUAUAUAAGAAGGUCACCAUCAUUCGAAGCUUGUUCAUCAAUCACAAAAUGAAAAUUGUAAUACUUGUA